rnacentral:lncRNA from 1 species
AUGCCCCUCACAGCCCACAGUUUAACUCCCCUGGAAAACCCUCCACAGCCUCCAACACCCUUCCUGAGUGGGAGAGCUCCUGAUCCCCUGACCGGGAUCCUGUCCACCACUUUCCUCCACACUGCCCUGCACACCAGGACCCCUCUCUCACUUCAGCCCCCACCCGCCUCUUUAAGUUGCCCUCAUCUUUGUCUUCCACAUUUCUCAUCCAGCCUCUUUCCUGACCCAAGAGAGGCCUGGGAACGGGGACGCAGCCACCCCUGCUCUGCACCCCAGACGGGUCUUGGGCGCCCCAGCUCAGCCCGGUGCACUUACCUGUGCGCUCUCCCGCUAGGGCGCGGGCAGCGGCGAGCGGCCGGGAACGGGGGGCGCGCGGGAGCCGACGGCCAGGCCCGGGUCCCUGGGCCCCGGCUGGGGCGCCGCGACCGGCGGCAUCGCGGUCAUUCAGCCCCCGCAGCCCCGCAGCGGCCCGCCUGGCGAGGGGAGAGGCCCGGAAGCGCUCGCCCCCACCCCGCCCCCGCCCCCGCCCCCGCCCCCGGCUUUGUUCGGCCUUCGGGGCCGCCGGGCGGCAAGGCGCGCGCGGUGGCUGCGCUUGGGGCGCGGCCGGCGCCCCUUUCCGGAGAAGCGGGGGCUCCCCUCCGCGAGGGCCCGCGUGGGGCUGCGGGCCCGGCCCCGAGCUGCAGUCGGGCUUUGAGAGCUGGCCAAGUUGCCAGGCGAGAGGAGCGGCGACUGACAGGGCCACGGCGAGGCGCGGGGAGCGCCGGGGGCGCCAUGGCGGAAGGCGGGCGCACGGGCGGCUCUUCAAUGUCACCAGCGAAAUGGGUUCCAUAUGUCCGGCCCGGCGGAGAAGGGAGGGGAAGGGAGAGAGUGAGUUCUGGGCAGGACAGGACGUGGGGGGGGGGGGGCGGGACGGGCGGUGCGCAAUGGAGGGAGCAGUGGCGAGGGGUAAUGGGAGGGAGGGAUUGGAGAGGCGAGAAAGGAUUGCAUUUUCCAUUUUCCCUGGAGUUUUCUAAAGCUGCUUAG